rnacentral:rRNA from 1 species
CGUAGGUGGCAAGCGUUGUUCGGAAUUAUUGGGCGUAAAGGGCGCGUAGGCGGUUUGUUAAGUCGGUUGUGAAAGCCCGGGGCUCAACCCCGGAGAGUCGACCGAUACUGGCAGACUAGAGUACAGAAGAGGUAGCUGGAAUUCCUGGUGUAGCGGUGAAAUGCGUAGAUAUCAGGAGGAACACCUGAGGCGAAGGCGGGCUACUGGGCUGAUACUGACGCUGAGGAGCGAAAGCGUGGGGAGCGAACAGG